CCAAUAAAGCAUUACAAUAGUCUAACCUUGAGGUCAUAAACGCAUGAACUAACAUUUCUGCUUUUGACGUUGAGAGCAUUGGUCGCAAUUUAGAUAUGCUUUUGAGAUGAAAAAAUGCAGUUUUACAGAUGCUAGAAACAUGGCUUUCAAAUGACAGAUUGCUAUCAAACAGCACACCUAGGUUCCUGACUGAUGAAGAAGAAUUGACAGAGCAGCCGUCAAGUGUUAGAUAAUGUUCUAGGUUAUUACAUGUAGGGUUUUUAGGUCCAAUAAUUAACACCUCUGUUUUUUUCAGAAUUUAGCAGUAAAAAAUUACUUGUCAUCCAGUUUUUUAUAUCGACUAUGCAUUCCGUUAGUGUCAAGGAAUAGGCUGGAUUCAGAUGCGGGAAUAACAGAGGCUUUAUUGAGCAGACAAUAAUAACAAUAGCAGGCGAGGAGCGCUCCCGCAGAUGGCUUGCGUGGAUGUGGGAUUUCCUACACACACAGCUGGGUGGAUGGUAGCGGCUGGAGCAAGCCACAACAGCGGCAGAGGAGACGGAGCCGGCAAGGCUGUUCGCUAUCCCGAGCGAGAGGUAGAGCGAUCCACUAGCGAGUCUGCAAAGACCCAGGAACGGCGGAAGCCAAGGGAGCCCACAGGAAUCUGAGCGCACAGAAAUUUAACUAGCAGCAACGAGCACUGGAGCCUGAACAGAGCAAGACAGGACAGGACAGGUAAAUGAUACAACUAGAGACAGUCAGAACAAUGAAACUAACCAAACAGUCUGACAAAAGACAGAGUAACACAGGGAGCUAUAAAGGGAAUGCUAAUGAGAUGACUAGAACCCGGUGUGAAACAAGAUGAGCUAACAAGCAGAGAAACAAGGAGGGCGGGGAAACAAUCACGCUGAAAAUGCGCACGUGGCGAGCUGUCAAAACAAAGUCACGUACACAACAUCUGAACACAGAGACAGAAAACCCAGGUGAUCAGACCCGAGACCCGACAGUUAGUUUCUCAAUUUGGUGUGUUUCACCGGGCCGCGGAGAAAUAUAGAGCUGAGUAUCAUCAGCAUAACAGUGAAAGCUAACACUAUGUCUCCUGAUAAUAUCUCCCAAGGGUAACAUGUAAAGCAUGAAAAGUAACGGCCCUAGUACUGAGCCUUGAGGUACUCCAUACUGCACUUGUGAUCGAUAUGAUACCUCUUCAUUCACUGCUACGAACUGAUGGUGGUCAGAUAAGUACGACUUGAACCAUGCUAAGGCACUUCCACUAAUGCCAACAAAGUUUUGUAGUCUAUUCAAAAGAAUGUUGUGGUCGAUAGUGUCGAACGCAGCGCUAAGAUCCAGUAGAACUAAUAAAGAGAUACAACCACGGUCACAUGAUAGAAGCAGGUCAUUUGUAACUCUAAUGAGAGCAGUCUUAGUACUAUGAUACAAUCUAAAUCCUGACUGGAAUUCCUCACAGAUAUCACUUUUCUCUAGGAAGGAAUAUAAUUGUGAGGAUACUACCUUUUCUAGUAUCUUUGACAGAAAAGGGAGAUUUGAGAUCGGUCUGUAAUUAACUAGAUCUUUGGGGUCAAGUUGUGGUUUUUAAUGAGAGGCUUAAUAACAGCCAUGGUCCCUUUAUGGUUACCAAAAUAGAGGGUAAAAGUGUUGAUCUUGUGAACUCUGUGAGACAGUCAACACACAAGGUCAGCAUUGACCACCUAAAACACCACCAUGAGGACAUGCCAAGGAUCCCUCACAAACUGAGGAAGCAACACUCUACCUCGUCUCAGCCACCUGAUGUAGCCUCUUCACUUCCACCUCAGGACGUCCCUCCUCCUCGUCUCUCCUCCUCCACCUCAGGAUGUCUAUUGUCCACCUUCAGCUGAAGACUAUCCUCUUCCUACGCCUCCAGCAGGGCAAUCAUUAUCUGAUGUGACAUCCUUUCACAAAAAGUGCAUACAAGAUGCAUGGGGAGGCAAAAAUGCACAUGUCCUGCUUUCACGAAUUGGUUCCUAUAAAUGAUUUUACUGGGACAUUGUUAGGACAGCUCCCAGUCAAGAAGUUGAGAGUGAGGUGAUCAAUGCAUACAUGGCCCUCAUAGUAAAAAGAAAUAAUCGCAUACAAGACAAAAAGGCACUUCACAUUGACACAUAUGAAAUGACAAGGAUAUGGGAGGGAAAGGGCUCAAGACUGAAGUGUGAUCCAACAAAAUACAGUGUUAUUUUGUGAGCUGUCCAUGAGCCUGGGCACUGGAUAUUGGCAGUAAUCUUUCCUUCUGAGAAAAGGAGUCUCGUACUGGACCCCCUGGGAAAUGAUUCUGCCAAACUCAGACAGUGUUUGGAGUCGACAAGGGCCUUCAUAAGAAAACAAAGCUGCCAGGUGGACAGCCAGCACAGCGACACACAGCCUCCAAAAAGAUGCCACCUCAUGUGGCAUAUUUGUCCUGAAAAAAUCAUUCUGUAUUUUAUUAUAUCUGUAAAGUAUUUCAGAUCAAUUGGUCUCAUUCACGUGUGUGUGUGUGUGUGUGUGGA